ensembl:miRNA Mir669f microRNA 669f
UGUAUGUGCCUGUGUGUAUAGUUGUGUGUGCAUGUGCAUGUGUGUAUAUGAAUAUACAUAUACAUACACACACACGUAUAAACGCAAGCACAAACACACACAGAGGAAUGGCACUCGUUGA